ACUCCUACGGGAGGCAGCAGUGGGGAAUAUUGCACAAUGGGGGAAACCCUGAUGCAGCCAUGCCGCGUGUGUGAAGAAGGCCUUCGGUUGUAAAGCACUUUCAGUAGGAGGAAGGUAGUGUAGUUAACACCUGCAUUAUUUGUACGUUACCUACAGAAGAAGCACCGGCUAACUCCGUGCCAGCAGCCGCGGUAAUACGGAGGGUGCGAGCGUUAAUCGGAAUUACUGGGCGUAAAGCGCAUGCAGGCGGCCUGUUAAGUCAGAUGUGAAAGCCCGGGGCUUAACCUCGGAAUUGCAUUUGAAACUGGCAGGCUAGAGUCUUGUAGAGGGGUUAGAAUUUCAGGUGUAGCGGUGAAAUGCGUAGAGAUCUGAAGG
rnacentral:rRNA from 1 species